CCACCGAGCCCGGCCAGAACUACUACAAUUUUUUUAGGGUCAUUUGGUCCUCUCUCUCAAAAGUGCGCUUACCCUCUAUCCAGGAAUUUCAUUUGUAGGAACCUAUGCUAUGUACAAUUUCACUGAAGUAUUGCUUGUAUUAGAAAAAAAGUAUGGAUGAUAGGCAGGUUGAAUAAAUGUUAAUGUUUUCAUGUAGCUAUGUAUAGGAAUGCCGCUAUGGAAAGACAUCCAGGACACCUUGUUAAGUGAAAAAAGGUUCAGUAUCUGAACACUUUUGCUAAAGGUCUCUGGAAAGCUCCCUGUGUUAAUUCUCGAUGAGACUACGUCUGUGCCGGCCGCUUCCUGAGCCUCCUUCCAUGUGCAUAGGCCUGCUGCAUGCUGGAGACCUGCGGCACAGCUGCCAAGUGCCCCGUGUGGUUCUGUGAUCUUGGGACAGUCACUUCCUCUCUGUGGUUGUCAGUCUUCUCAUCCCUAAGGUGGAGCCCAUUUCCCCUCCUGCUGAGCGUGGGCCACACUUAGCGACUGGCUUUCAAUGAAGAGAAUGUAACAGAGGUGAAAGUGUGUGACAUUCGAGGAAAGGCCAUAAAAGACAUUGGUGCUUCAGCUUUGCUCUCGCGGCUGUCUGACUCUGGGGGAAGCCAGCCACCACGUCAUGAGGACACCCAAACAGCCUACGGAGAGGCCCACGUAGGGAGGAGCUGAGGCCCCCUGCCAGCAAGCAGCCCUAGCCCGCCAGCUGUGUGAGUGAGCGAGCCUUUUUGGAAGUGCAUCCUCCUGUCCCAGUCCAGCCCUCAGAUGGCUGCAGCCCUGCUAGCAUCUUGACUGCCGCCUCAUGAGGGACCUCAAGCCAGAACCAACAGCCACGUGGUGCCAGAAUUCCUCAUCUGCAGCAGCCGUGUGAGAUCAUAACUGUUUAUUGCCUUUUUAAGCCACUGAGUUUUGGGGUCGUUUGUUACUCAGCAGUAGAUGAUUAAUAUGCUGUCAUGCAGCUGUCUUGGAACCAGGAGGGGCAAGACUGAGGGCAGAAGCCACUGUGGUGAAACUGGCGGAGACAUGGAAUCUGGAUUCCUGGUGAUGUGAGCUAGUGAGCUGCCCAGCCAACCCUGGGUUGCCUAUUUUGGGACUUUUUGUUACAUGAGCUGAUAAGAACCCUUAAUUCAUUGUUA
rnacentral:lncRNA from 1 species